AAGAUACAAGGAUCUCAAGACACCUAAGAUAAGCAUCUUUCAGUAUUCAGAGCUUCCUUACAAGUUCUAUUUAAAUGAAUGUUUGCACAACUACCAUGCAAACAUCCGUACUGGCUUCGCUCUUCUAAAAAUCACUGUUUCUCUAGCUCUCUUUUAAACAGGCGGAUGUGUCUUCCAGUGAUCAAGCUCUUGCUUUGCCCUCUGUGUGCUGUAGCUCUGCUCUCUGUGUCUGUCCUAUCUGUAAGUAAGGCUGCCUCUGCACAGAAAACUACAACACAACAAGAGAAACAUACAACGGAUGAUUCUCUCAACUAUGCUUCUCUGCACUUUGAGAAUAAGCACAAG